UACAGGGGGGGCAAGCGUUAUUCGGAAUUAUUGGGCGUAAAGGGCGCGUAGGCGGCUUGGCAAGUGGAUGGUGAAAUCCCUCGGCUUAACCGAGGAACUGCCGUCCAAACUGCUUUGCUUGAGACCGGGAGGGGUGAGUGGAAUUCCCAGUGUAGCGGUGAAAUGCGUAGAUAUUGGGAGGAACACCAGUGGCGAAGGCGGCUCACUGGACCGGUACUGACGCUGAUGCGCGAAAGCGUGGGGAGCAAACAGG
rnacentral:rRNA from 1 species